GACGAACGCUGGCGGCGUGCCUAAUACAUGCAAGUAGAACGCUGAAGCUUGGUGCUUGCACCGAGCGGAUGAGUUGCGAACGGGUGAGUAACGCGUAGGUAACCUGCCUGGUAGCGGGGGAUAACUAUUGGAAACGAUAGCUAAUACCGCAUAAGAGUAGAUGUUGCAUGACAUUUGCUUAAAAGGUGCAAUUGCAUCACUACCAGAUGGACCUGCGUUGUAUUAGCUAGUUGGUGAGGUAACGGCUCACCAAGGCAACGAUACAUAGCCGACCUGAGAGGGUGAUCGGCCACACUGGGACUGAGACACGGCCCAGACGCCUACGGGAGGCAGCAGUAGGGAAUCUUCGGCAAUGGACGGAAGUCUGACCGAGCAACGCCGCGUGAGUGAAGAAGGUUUUCGGAUCGUAAAGCUCUGUUGUAAGAGAAGAACGAGUGUGAGAGUGGAAAGUUCACACUGUGACGGUAUCUUACCAGAAAGGGACGGCUAACUACGUG
rnacentral:rRNA from 1 species